AUACGGAGGGUGCAAGCGUUAAUCGGAAUUACUGGGCGUAAAGAGUACGUAGGUGGUUUAUUAAGUCAGAUGUGAAAGCCCCGGGCUCAACCUGGGAACUGCAUUUGAAACUAGUAAACUAGAGUAUGGUAGAGGGGGGUAGAAUUUCUAGUGUAGCGGUGAAAUGCGUAGAUAUUUGAAGGAAUACCAGUGGCGAAGGCGGCCCCCUGGACCAAUACUGACACUGAGGUACGAAAGCGUGGGUAGCGAACAGGAUUAGAAACCCCAGUAGUCC
rnacentral:rRNA from 1 species